rnacentral:tRNA from 1 species
GCACCAUUAGCUCAGCUGGCAGAGCAACUGACUCUUAAUCAGUGGGUCCUGGGUUCGAAUCCCAGAUGGUGUACCA